rnacentral:rRNA from 1 species
GACGUAGGAUGCAAGCGUUGCUCGGAAUCACUGGGCGUAAAGGGCGUGUAGGCGGCUUAGUAAGUGGGAUGUGAAAGCCCCGGGCUCAACCCGGGAAGUGCAUUUCAAACUGCUUUGCUUGAGUCCGGAAGAGGGUAGCAGAAUUCCAGGUGGAACGGUGAAAUGUGUAGAUAUCUGGAGGAAUACCUGCGGCGAAGGCGGCUGCCUGGUCCGGAACUGACGCUAAAAUGCUAAAGCGUGGGGAG